AGAGUUUGAUCCUGGCUCAGGAUGAACGCUGGCGGCGUGCCUAACACAUGCAAGUCGAACGGAGCUGCUUUGAUGAAGUUUUCGGAUGGAUUUAAAACAGCUUAGUGGCGGACGGGUGAGUAACGCGUGGGUAACCUGCCUCACACUGGGGGAUAACAGUUAGAAAUAGCUGCUAAUACCGCAUAAGCGCACGGUUCCGCAUGGAACAGUGUGAAAAACUCCGGUGGUGUGAGAUGGACCCGCGUCUGAUUAGCCAGUUGGCGGGGUAACGGCCCACCAAAGCGACGAUCAGUAGCCGGCCUGAGAGGGUGAACGGCCACAUUGGGACUGAGACACGGCCCAAACUCCUACGGGAGGCAGCAGUGGGGAAUAUUGCACAAUGGGGGAAACCCUGAUGCAGCGACGCCGCGUGAGUGAAGAAGUAUUUCGGUAUGUAAAGCUCUAUCAGCAGGGAAGAAAGUGACGGUACCUGACUAAGAAGCCCCGGCUAACUACGUGCCAGCAGCCGCGGUAAUACGUAGGGGGCAAGCGUUAUCCGGAUUUACUGGGUGUAAAGGGAGCGUAGACGGCACAGCAAGUCUGAAGUGAAAUCCCCGGGCUCAACCCGGGAACUGCUUUGGAAACUGUUGGGCUGGAGUGCUGGAGAGGCAAGCGGAAUUCCUAGUGUAGCGGUGAAAUGCGUAGAUAUUAGGAAGAACACCAGUGGCGAAGGCGGCUUACUGGACGGUAACUGACGUUGAGGCUCGAAAGCGUGGGGAGCAAACAGGAUUAGAUACCCUGGUAGUCCACGCCGUAAACGAUGA
rnacentral:rRNA from 1 species